UCCGCUCCCAACAUGGCGGCCCCCAAGCCGUACCUGCCUGUCAAGCAGGCCUGGUGGCGUCAUCCCCGAGGGCGGGACUGGCCCAGCCAAUGAGCGGCGAACCCAGUUGCUGAAAAGAUAACCCACAAGAUUCGCCUGAUGAAAGGUGAAGAACCAGCAGAAUAAUCUCAUGCAGUUGGUUGGGACUUUUUAAUCUUAUAUUUCAAACAACAUGACUUACCUGCACCUAAAAAAAGAAAUAUGGUCCUCCUUAAUAUGUGUUUAAUAAACCUAGGUAGAAUUAUA